UACGUAGGGUGCAAGCGUUGUCCGGAAUUAUUGGGCGUAAAGCGCGUGUAGGCGGCUCGGUAAGUCCGGUGUGAAACCUUGGGGCUCAACCCCAAGCCUGCACUGGAUACUGUCGAGCUCGAGUCCGGGAGGGGAGAGCGGAAUUCCUAGUGUAGCGGUGAAAUGCGCAGAUAUUAGGAAGAACACCGGUGGCGAAGGCGGCUCUCUGGAACGGUACUGACGCUGAGACGCGAAAGCGUGGGGAGCGAACAGG
rnacentral:rRNA from 1 species